rnacentral:rRNA from 1 species
AUUGAACGCUGGCGGCAGGCCUAACACAUGCAAGUCGAGCGGAUGAAGGGAGCUUGCUCCUGGAUUCAGCGGCGGACGGGUGAGUAAUGCCUAGGAAUCUGCCUGGUAGUGGGGGAUAACGUCCGGAAACGGGCGCUAAUACCGCAUACGUCCUGAGGGAGAAAGUGGGGGAUCUUCGGACCUCACGCUAUCAGAUGAGCCUAGGUCGGAUUAGUUAGUUGGUGGGGUAAAGGCCUACCAAGGCGACGAUCCGUAACUGGUCUGAGAGGAUGAUCAGUCACACGGGAACUGAGACACGGUCCAGACUCCUACGGGAGGCAGCAGUGGGGAAUAUUGGACAAUGGGCGAAAGCCUGAUCCAGCCAUGCCGCGUGUGUGAAGAAGGUCUUCGGAUUGUAAAGCACGUUAAGUUGGGAGGAAGGGCAGUAAGUUAAUACCUUGCUGUUUUGACGUUACCAACAGAAUAAGCACCGGCUAACUUCGUG